rnacentral:misc_RNA from 1 species
ACAAUGAUAGAGUGGACCAAAGUCGGAUUUGAGAAGCUGGGAGCCAAAACUGAGUUGGCGGAUAUAGGGGAGCAGGUUUUGCCGGAUGGAUCCAAGCUUCCUUUGCCCCCAAUUCUGAUGGGAACGCUCGGAAAUGACCCCAAGAAGAAGACACUUCUGGUGUACGGUCAUCUGGAUGUACAACCAGCAAAACAGGAGGAUGGUUGGGAUACAGAUCCAUUUGUCCUGACGGAGAAGGACGGCAAAUUGUACGGAAGAGGAAGUACUGACGACAAGGGACCAGUGUUGGCUUGGUUGAACUGUAUUGAGGCCAUGCAGGAAAUUGGAAUGGAUAUUCCCAUUAAUCUCAAGUUUCUAUUUGAGGGAAUGGAAGAAUCCGGAUCAGAAGGUCUGGAUGAACUUGUCUUCUCCAAGAAAGACACCUUCCUAAAGGAUGUAGACUUUGUGUGCAUCUCAGACAACUACUGGCUCGGCAAGAAAAAGCCAUGUUUGACCUAUGGUCUCAGAGGGAUCUGCUAUUUCUUCCUGGAGAUUGAAUGCUCCACCAAGGAUCUACACUCCGGUGUGUUUGGGGGCACUGUACAUGAAGGAAUGGCUGACCUUAUUGCACUCCUGGACACUCUGGUCGACAACAAAGGACGUAUCCUGAUCCCUGGGAUUAAUGACUCUGUGGCCAAACUGACAGACGAGGAAAAGAAGCUGUAUGAACCCAUCGACUUUGAUCCAGAGGAGUAUAAAAAAGACGUUGGAGUGACAGCAUUAAUCCAUGAUAAGAAGGAUGACAUAUUGAUGCAUCGUUGGAGGUACCCCUCUCUCUCCAUUCAUGGAAUUGAGGGAGCUUUCAGUGAAUCCGGAGCUAAGACAGUCAUUCCUAGGAAGGUGAUCGGAAAGUUUUCCGUGCGGCUUGUUCCAGAUCAGCAUCCGGACGAGAUAGAGAAACUCGUCAAAGAACACAUACAGCAGAAGUUCAAAGAAAGAAAUAGUCCCAACAAAAUUAAAGUCUCAAUGGGUCAUGGAGGAAAGCCUUGGGUCAGUGACUUCAAUGAUCCAAACUACAUAGCCGGCAGAAAAGCAAUGAAAACAGUUUUUGGGGUGGAACCGGAUUUAACCAGAGAGGGAGGAAGUAUUCCAGUGACCUUGACCUUUCAGGAGGCGACUGGUAAGAACGUGAUGUUACUUCCGAUCGGAGCGUGUGAUGAUGGCGCUCACUCCCAGAACGAGAAGAUAGACAGGUCCAACUACAUUAACGGGGUCAGUAUGUCUGGGAUAGAUAGAUGCAUGAUACACAUUAACGGGGUCAUAUGUCUUGGAUAGAUAGAUGCACGAUACACAUUAAUGGGGUUAGUAUGUCUGGGAUAGAUAGAUGCAUCAGACACAUUAAUGGGGUCAGUAUGUCUGGGAUAGAUAGAUGCAUGAUACACAUUAACGGGGUCAGUAUGUCUGGGAUAAAUAGAAGCAUCAUACACCUGUGUGAUGCAACACAUACUUCUAGUACUCAUUAAUGCACAAUUACAUGUCCUGUUAGGUUGCCUCAAGAAACUGAGUUUAAAAAGUCCUGGUGCAUAAUGACAAUAUCUUUUUAUGUCUGAGGUAGAAGUCAUUGAUUAAUGAUUAAAUUUUAAAGGAUAGUAACAUUUUAAACAUAUAUCCCAUGUUUAAAGCUUGCAUUAUAUAUUGUGAUUCUUUCAUGCAAAUCUUCCUGAAAUAAAUAUUGCCAGGCAAGGUAAAGUUGCAUUUAAAGUAAUUCUUUACAACAUAGCGGUAAUUGAGCAAUGUAUUUUGCAGACCAAGGUGUUGGGAGCCUAUAUGAUGGAGCUGGCCUCUCUCUAAACAGAAGAUGUCUUGCUGGGAUGAGCUGAGAAACAAACUCCUGUUGUGUGCCAUAAUCAUAAAACAUAUAUAAAUACCAUAGACUUUUGAUCAGCGUGUAACAGGAAACAAAUUUCCACCAAUGUAACAUUUAAACUCAUACAAUUUUGACGAUUUAUUGUGAUAUUGUACAAAAAGAUAAAUGAACUCUGUGAUUUUUUUCAAUACAACAUUUUAGUAUGG